rnacentral:rRNA from 1 species
CCUACGGGGGACUGCAGUGGGGGAUAUUGCACAAUGGGGGAAACCCUGAUGCAGCGACGCCGCGUGAGUGAAGAAGUAUUUCGGUAUGUAAAGCUCUAUCAGCAGGGAAGAAAAUGACGGUACCUGACCAAGACGCCCCGGCUAACUACGUGCCAGCAGCCGCGGUAAUACGUAGGGGGCAAGCGUUAUCCGGAUUUACUGGGUGUAAAGGGAGCGUAGACGGCAGUACAAGUCUGGAGUGAAAUCCCGGGGCUUAACCCCGGGACUGCUUUGGAAACUGGGGGGCUGGAGUGCAGGAGGGGUAAGCGGAAUUCCUAGUGUAGCGGUGAAAUGCGUAGAUAUUAGGAGGAACACCGGUGGCGAAGGCGGCUUACUGGACUGUAACUGACGUUGAGGCUCGAAGGCGUGGGGAGCAAACAGGAUUAGAUACCCGGGUAGUC